AAACUUUCAACAACGGAUCUCUUGGCUCUGGCAUCGAUGAAGAACGCAGCGAAAUGC
rnacentral:rRNA from 3 species